GACGAACGCUGGCGGCGUGCUUAACACAUGCAAGUCGAGCGGAAAGGCCUCUUCGGGGGUACUCGAGCGGCGAACGGGUGAGUAACACGUGAGUAAUCUGCCCUUCACUCUGGGAUAGCCACCGGAAACGGUGAUUAAUACCGGAUACGACACGUCCAGGCAUCUGGUGCGUGUGGAAACUUUUUGGGUGGGGGAUGUGCUCGCGGCCUAUCAGCUUGUUGGUGGGGUAAUGGCCUACCAAGGCUUCGACGGGUAGCCGGCCUGAGAGGGUGACCGGCCACACUGGGACUGAGACACGGCCCAGACUCCUACGGGAGGCAGCAGUGGGGAAUAUUGGACAAUGGGCGGAAGCCUGAUCCAGCAACGCCGCGUGAGGGAUGACGGCCUUCGGGUUGUAAACCUCUUUCAGCACCGACGAAGCGAUCCUUUUGGGGAGUGACGGUAGGUGCAGAAGAAGGACCGGCCAACUACGUGCCAGCCGCCGCCGUAAAAC
rnacentral:rRNA from 1 species